rnacentral:rRNA from 1 species
GAUGAACGCUGGCGGCGUGCCUAAUACAUGCAAGUCGAGCGAACAGAUAAGGAGCUUGCUCCUUUGACGUUAGCGGCGGACGGGUGAGUAACACGUGGGUAACCUACCUAUAAGACUGGGAUAACUUCGGGAAACCGGAGCUAAUACCGGAUAACAUUUGGAACCGCAUGGUUCUAAAGUGAAAGAUGGUUUUGCUAUCACUUAUAGAUGGACCCGCGCCGUAUUAGCUAAUUGGUAAGGUAACGGCUUACCAAGGCGACGAUACGUAGCCGACCUGGGAGGGUGAGCGGCCACACUGGAACUGAGACACGGUCCAGACUCCUACGGGAGGCAGAAGUAGGGAAUCUUCCGCAAUGGGCGAAAGCCUGACGGAGCAACGCCGCGUGAGUGAUGAAGGGUUUCGGCCCGUAAAACUCUGUUAUUAGGGAAGAACAAACGUGUAAGUAACUGUGCACGUCUUGACGGUACCUAAUCAGAAAGCCACGGCUAACUACGUGCCAGCAGCCGCCGUAA